GACGAACGCUGGCGGCGUGCUUAACACAUGCGAGUCGAACGGAAAGGCCCUGCUUUUGUGGGGUGCUCGAGUGGCGAACGGGUGAGUAACACGUGAGUAACCUGCCCUUGACUUUGGGAUAACUUCAGGAAACUGAGGCUAAUACCGGAUAGGAGCUCCUGCUGCAUGGUGGGGGUUGGAAAGUUUCGGCGGUUGGGGAUGGACUCGCGGCUUAUCAGCUUGUUGGUGGGGUAGUGGCUUACCAAGGCUUUGACGGGUAGCCGGCCUGAGAGGGUGACCGGCCACAUUGGGACUGAGAUACGGCCCAGACUCCUACGGGAGGCAGCAGUGGGGAAUAUUGCACAAUGGGCGGAAGCCUGAUGCAGCAACGCCGCGUGCGGGAUGACGGCCUUCGGGUUGUAAACCGCUUUCGCCUGUGACGAAGCGUGAGUGACGGUAAUGGGUAAAGAAGCACCGGCUAACUACGUG
rnacentral:rRNA from 1 species